GGGCAUAAUUCACACUGAGCACCUGACUGAGCUGUAGUUGGCUGUCCAACUCACUGGCUUGUCCUGCAGUGGUGGGGCUGGGGAGUGAACCCCCCUGCCUGGGGGAGACAAGCAAUGGCUGAGACUGAAAAUCUCCUUUCUGCUCAGCAGGUGCUGUGGCUGCCCUACUGUAGGGUCCUGCGUUUUCCCAGAAGCCAUGCAGACUUUUGUUUUCUGGUGUUGGGCUAGAAUCUUCUCAUCCAGUUCAUAAAUGAGUGCUUGCAAUUUCAUGCUCACUCUCUGUCCUAAGUACCCAAGCAUUGCACCCCACGUGUUGGUGCUUGUGUGCAGCAUACAAAACCUGCUCUCUGGCUGUGCAAUUUCUCCUGGUUGAGGAAGAGGAGAGGCUUGUCCCAACAGAUCCAUCAUCUGCUUCCUGAAUUGCUCUGCAAGGAACCAGCUUUCCUUCCAAGCUCAAAGCAAUGAUUCACCGUCAGCACACGGUCCAGCAGCAGCUGGUAUGCAUGUAACUGAGGCUCCCUUACUAUCAGGAUGCACGUCCUCUCUCUUGUCUUAGGGAGAUCUCAACUGAACCGACUCCUCACCUAAUGCUUCAGCAAUGCCUAACGUGGGAGUGACUAGGCACACCCAAUUGCAACUGCCCCCAUUUCAAACAGCUGGCUUGCAGGGCAUCUAAGAAUUAGUUUUCACUUUGCAUUAGGUGUCUUCAGCCCGUUGAAGCAGAACCUUAACUUACUGUAUUCAACGGCUUUUGGACGAUCCCCUUUUGCUUUCUGCAGAAAAUU
rnacentral:lncRNA from 7 species